rnacentral:lncRNA from 1 species
UCCUGUUGCCUCGACGAGCCAAUGUAUUAGUGCAUGGGUUGUUCUUGUUGGCACAGUCAGCUCACCUCAUGAUUUGCACGACAGCUAUCCACCCUGAGUGGAUAGACUCAAGCGUAACUGAUUCUUCUAAUCUCAUGGGAGUGAUUGAAGGCUAAAUUAUCUCAUCCGUAAUAGCAUGUUCAACAGUCCUAUGAUCUCGAGAUCGCAUGAUCCCAUGACUAUUCGAUUAGUUGUUCGACAGCCUUCUAUAUAAGCAACCAAAAUCUCGAGGAUAAAAUAAGUUAAUCAACCCCUCUCAGAGAACUCAUUGCUAUUUCUGUUGUUCUCUGAAUCUGGCUUGAGCAUUGGAGGAUCCUCGUCAGAGCAAAAACCUUCGAUUUGGAUUUGUUUUGCAGGUCACUCUAGCAUCAUCAGUUCUGUGCGAGGCUCAGUUGCCUUCUCUCUGACCCUAACUAAAUCAAGCAGCAAUAGAUAGAGGAAGGGCGUAAUCUUCAUUAUGCCUCCAAGACAAACAUUAUCUCAGCUCUCCAAUGCUGUCGCCUCUUGACGGGUGGAGAGUCAUGCUAAC